AUACGAAGGGGGCUAGCGUUGUUCGGAAUCACUGGGCGUAAAGCGCGCGUAGGUGGAUCAAUUAGUUGAGGGUGAAAUCCCGGGGCUCAACCUCGGAACUGCCUUCAAUACUGUUGAUCUUGAGACCGAGAGAGGUGAGUGGAAUUCCUAGUGUAGAGGUGAAAUUCGUAGAUAUUAGGAAGAACACCAGUGGCGAAGGCGGCUCACUGGCUCGGUACUGACGCUGAGGUGCGAAAGCGUGGGGGGCAAACAGGAUUAGAUACCCUAGUAGUCC
rnacentral:rRNA from 1 species